AAAAAAAAAGAAAAAGCAGAAGCCCUUCCCUGCUGGUCCAAUGUGAACACCAAGGCUGAAAUUCUCGAACAUGUGUCAAAUGAUACAAACUCCUACUUAAUUUCCCCUCGGGGAUUAAUAAAGUUGAUCUUGAAUCUUAUAGGGGAAGCAGCUUAAAGAUUGAGUUCAUUGAAUUUGCGUGUGCAUCUCGCAAAAAAUCAUGCACAAAUGCGAAAGAUUUACAUAAUAAUUGUGUAAAAUAUGCAUGAACUGCAUAAUUCUCAACUGACCAGAAAUUUUGAACAGCUCAAAACCAAAUGAAUUUAAAGACCUGUCGGCCAAAACCUUCAACGGACAUCUGCGCACAUCGACGAAUGCAAGAAGGACGAAUCACGGAAGACCGAAAUUUCCUACGUGGAAAUGCGCAAAUUGUACAUAAUGGCUGUGUUAAACAGCCUUUAUGAGCAUUAAAUCACCUCAUGUGAGUCUAAUUAACCAAUGUUUUGUACUUUUUAAAAGAGGAAACAUGUGGGGUUUCAGUUUUUCCUUCUUUUAGCCGUCACUGAUUAAUACUGUUGGUUCUGUCUGCUUAACUGAAGAUUUUCCCCGUUUCCGGGUCAGAUGAUCCCUCCAGGUGGAGUUGGAAAGAACCGAAGAGGCCCAGAGAUUCAUCUAUUUAAAGAAAAGAAAGUUUACGCUUCCUGAAACUGUAAAGUUGGAGGUCAGACGGAGAUGGUGUCGGCUCUCUAAACUGAAGGAGGGAGCGGCCUUUCUAAGAGUAGCACUUCAGGAAAGAACUGCCUUUGGUCUGUUGUCCCUCGAAGCGCCUCUGAAGUUGAGACAAGAUCAGAUCUACUUUUAGAUAUAGCAAGAGUCACGAUCUCAAGAGGCAAAGAAUUCUACGACACCAAGUCUUUCAAGUAUCGGAACAGAGCUGGGAAAGAAGAAGCCUGGAGCCAGAUUUGUGAGAUUUGCUCCACUUGGAUAUUUCUCACCAAGACUCUUCCAAAUACAUUCGCUGGUAAACAGUAGAAAAUGAAAAAGAAGAAGAAGCCCCUCCCUGCUAGUCCAGUGUGAACACCAUAGCAUGUCCUUGAACGCCUCUGAAAUACUCGGUGUUAACGCAGCUUCAGGCAUAUUUGGGGCAGAUGAUGAUCGGGAAUUUGACGGGUCAACAGGAGGUUGGGGGGGAACAGGUGAGGGUCAGGAGACCAACAGAACACCCCGUGGUCAGGAAGAAAACUGAGGUCGACGACUGGACUUGACAGGAAUGGUUCAAGCAUCGGAAAAAGAAGCAAACGCAACUAGGAUCUGGAAGCAUUUGUGAGAAGCCUGUAAGUGUGGAGGGACGCAGCUGGAGGUGAUGAUCUACAUCGUGCUUUAAGAGCUGUGGCUUGACAGCACCUCCCAAAAUGUCACACUUAUGAGCUGAUGGGGCUGACCAGUCCCGGUCCACAGGAGCCAAACCCCUCCUGAUCUUCAGCUCUGCCCUGCUUGCUGUUGAAUACCUGAACCUAGUGUGUUCACAGGAAGCUCUGUAUGGUGAUAUGGAAGUCAGGAGAUUUUCUUUUUCUUCUCCCCUCUUGUCUACAUGAGCUUGUCAAGUUGUCCAAAGGGAAUUGUUUUUAACCAAAAUUAAAAAUACUUUUUCAAUGUCUAUAGACUCUUUUGGAAAUGCUCGAUUCUCCUGUCUGAUCCUGCUUCAGGAACCUCUAAGCCCGAAUGUGACGCACGUCUUAACUCAGAGUCUGUUUGGGAUUAUUCUGCCAAAACAAAAUGAUGCAAAUUCUGCUCUACUCAGGAUUUUUCUCCCUAGGAUCUUUCAUUUCUGCUCAUCUGACUAUGUAAACUGCAGAUUUUGACGGCUGCCACUCUGCUCCGUGCUGAAGGAGAACAGAGAUGUGCUGCAGAUGCACAUUCCUCCACUCCGACCGUACCCCCCUUAUCAUAACAAGGAUUCAGUUGGCUUACACUCUAACACACAAUCUCACACACAAACACAGACCACGCCCAUCUGUCUCGAGGUCAAACAGAUGAGGUAAUGGCAGUGCUCUUUAGAGAUCUAACACCUUUACUCCAAAAAGAUGGUUCACUACUUUCCCCCGUCUGCUUUCAUUUUACAGAAGCUGAGAUGUGACUCAGAAAACCAAAUCACUCCACACUUUCAACACAAAUGUCAUUGCCAUCUGAAUGUCAGGUGAUGCUAUCGAUGUCCCAGUGCCAGUCAAUAAUUGUUUUUAUUAAAAAGGCAGGCCCAUUCAUCGACGCUGUUCGUAAUAGAACAGCUCUGUCUGCUCCGCACCGUCAGAUGAAACGAUCUGCUGUCCCUCUGUGAGCAGCCUUUCUGGUUUUCUAAAGAGGCAUCAGAGGUGAAGCGGCCGGCUGUUGCACUGUAAGUUAUCAUGUUAAUUGCUGAACAGAAGCAGAGAAAGGGCACGUAGAAAGCAAAAACCAAGAGGCUGUGACUGAGUCAACACCACAGGAAAGCUAAAGCAGGAGAGCUGGACGCAGAAUGGAUUCUGACAUUAACUGGGAAGGUUUGUUCUCUUCUUUUGGCUAGAUAAAAAAUUCGAUGCCUGUCCCUCCUCUUUCAUAGGGCAUAAAGUACAUGUUGACUGCAGAGUGUCACAAGAACAGGCAGACGGCUGGAUCCAAAUGCAGCAGGUUUGUUAGCUCAGCUAAAAGUCCACAAAGCUAAAUCAGGGUCAGGCAGGAUUCGAUAACAGGCAUAGGGUCAUCCGAGGAGAGACGGGGUAGUCAGGAUCCAGUCCAAGGUCGGGGCAGGCUGCAGGCAAACAAAGUCAGAAACAGAAUCAGGAGACAGAAGAUCAGGUCCAGCUAUAACGCUCGGUAAGAAAGGUAGAGUGGCAUAAACAAUACUUCGCUCUGAGCUUAACUCAGUGCAGAGCUUGAUUAUGCUGACGUUGAUUGAAUGAGUUAGAGUAAGGUGUGCUGCAUCCAGGAAGUGUGCGCUGGGGUUGCUGGGAGAUGUAGUGUGGCUGGAACUCUGGGGACGGCUACCGCCGAUGACCAGUGGGGGAGACAGAGCUCUGACAUCUGACACAGAGGACGGAGGUUACGAUGUUACAAAACAUGCUAACAAAUACUAAGUUUACUCCAAAAGGAUUUACGACAAGACGAUGCAGCUGCAGAGCCCAGCUGGUCCAAGAGAGAAUGCUGAAUGGAGGCUCACAGGCUGGGUCUGAGUUUGGCUCUGGAGACAAGGAGGGAGAUCUGAAAGUGCAAGUCCAUCCCUGAAGACAACAGUCAUCCUCUCCAUUCAGUCUUCUACCAUCAGAGCUGAAUUGAUACAGCAACAAAGGCUUUCGGAGACUUGAAUUGGAGCUUCAAGGGUCAUUUUCUCAGAUUUUCUGUUUAAAUCCCCUUCAUGUUGACCAUCUUUGAGCAGUUAACAAUUGUGCAUCAAUGGUGCAUCAUCACAAACAACAAAAGGAGACACAGGUACAUUUGUAUUUUCAGCUCAUUUCUCUAAAUUUCUAUGUUUUGACGAUCAACAUUCUUCUCGAAAAAUUACUAUUUAAAAAAGGUUUAAAUUUUGCUCUAAAUUUCAGCAAUGGAAGCAAAUUAAAGACAAAUAAAAACAAUUAAACCAAAGACGCUGAGUUCACUUUAUUGAAAAUUUAGUCGCCACAUCCUGUCGACGUUGAGAGCAAAUUCAGGUCAUGAAAGAAGCUCUA